rnacentral:rRNA from 1 species
CAGCAGCCGCGGUAAUACGGAGGGUGCAAGCGUUAAUCGGAAUUACUGGGCGUAAAGCGUGCGUAGGCGGUUCGUUAAGUCUGUUGUGAAAGCCCCGGGCUCAACCUGGGAAUGGCAAUGGAUACUGGCGAGCUAGAGUGUGUCAGAGGAUGGUGGGAUUCCCGGUGUAGCGGUGAAAUGCGUAGAGAUCGGGAGGAACAUCAGUGGCGAAGGCGGCCAUCUGGGACAACACUGACGCUGAGGCACGAAAGCGUGGGGAGCAAACAGGAUUAGAGACCCCGUAGUCCCUGUCUCUUAUACA